rnacentral:rRNA from 1 species
UGAGCAAUCUGUCCUUCUCAUCGGAAUAAGCGUUGGAAACGACGUCUAAUGCCGAAUACGACCUCCUUUCGCAUGAUCGGAGGUGGAAAGCUCCGGCGGAGAAGGAUGAGCUCGCGGCCUAUCAGCUAGUUGGUGUGGGUAAUGGCCUACCAAGGCGACGACGGGUAGCCGGCCUGAGAGGGCGACCGGCCACACUGGGACUGAGACACGGCCCAGACUCCUACGGGAGCAG